CACGUAGGGCGCAAGCGUUGUCCGGAAUUAUUGGGCGUAAAGAGCUCGUAGGUGGUCUGUCGCGUCGGCUGUGAAAACUCGGGGCUCAACCCCGAGCCUGCAGUCGAUACGGGCAGACUUGAGUGCGGUAGGGGAGACUGGAAUUCCUGGUGUAGCGGUGAAAUGCGCAGAUAUCAGGAGGAACACCGGCGGCGAAGGCGGGUCUCUGGGCCGUAACUGACACUGAGGAGCGAAAGCGUGGGGAGCGAACAGG
rnacentral:rRNA from 1 species